ensembl:misc_RNA Metazoa_SRP Metazoan signal recognition particle RNA
GCUGGGCAUAGUGGUGUAUGCCUGUAAUCCCAGCUAUUUGGGAGGCUGAGGCAGGAGAAUCACUUGAGCCUGGGAGGCGGCGAUUGCAGUGAGCUGAGAUCACGCCACUGCACUCCAGCCUGGGCGACAGAGUGAGACUCUAUCUCAA